rnacentral:rRNA from 1 species
ACAGAGGUGGCAAGCGUUGUUCGGAAUUACUGGGCGUAAAGGGCGCGUAGGUGGCCUUCUUGGUCAGACGUGAAAUCCCCGGGCUUAACUCGGGAACUGCGUCUGAUACUGGAAGGCUCGAGUUCGGGAGAGGAAUGUGGAAUUCCAGGUGUAGCGGUGAAAUGCGUAGAUAUCUGGAGGAACACCGGUGGCGAAGGCGGCAUUCUGGACCGAAACUGACACUGAGGCGCGAAAGCCAGGGGAGCAAACGGGA